UGCUCCAUAUGCACUUCCAUAUCAGAGGCCAUUUUCUCAGACUGCCCUUCUGCUGCCAUCCAUUGCACUGCAGCAACACGUAGCAGAACAUUGUUGGGAAGGUUUGACCUCUGCUGCCAUACCAACAACACCUGUGUCUGACACUGUGGCCCAACAUAAUAAAAUAGUAGGCAUUCCUUUCAGAGCAGCCCUCAUACAUUCAUCAUCUCUCUCAAGCUUAUCAACAUUACUGUCUUCUAUCAGCACCCAAUUCACAUUAAAAAAGAAAAAAGUACAAGGCAUUAGAAACUCAUAAUAGUCUCUCUCCUUUCACACACUGAUUUCUGAAGUUUCUCAGUUCCCUUCCAGUUUCCAUUGCUUAGGAGACAUAUAUCUCAUGCCAGUGGGUUUCGUAAAUAUUUUCUAUCUCACAUUACUAUCAGUUUUUUCCUGCUGCAAUCUGAAUUCAUAUCAGAUCCCAUCCAUCUGAGAAGCCACUGUUCUGCCUGGCUGCAGCAGUAGUAAUGGAGUGGCGUAGUUUGCUCAGAAAAUGCUCCCCUCAAAAUGAAGCACCCUUCAGUUGUAUUUUUAACACAGAACCACAUUUGCUUUGUGUUUACACAGAAAUUGCACUUAAAAUCUUGCAGUGGCACACCGUAAAAUGUGUUCACAGACUCCUCUGGUUACCAGAACAAAUACUGGAGCCUGUUCAGAAGGGAAACCCACAAAGUAGAUAUCAGGAUGUUCUGGAGGCCACACAACAAAAAAAACAACAGCUAAGCACCAUAUUUUGGGAGGGUUUCUCCAACACUCACCAGCACAAUAGACGUAGGGUGGUGGGUUGUCAUCCUUGUUAAUGCAAUGGGGUUGGGCAGGCUGAAGCUGCAGCACAGUUUCAAGAGGGCUGUUGCUUCACUGUGGUAACCAGAGGUGUGUUCAGUACACGGCAGUACACGUCACCCUCAUUAAGCUUUACAGUGCUCUGAACCUGGUAAUUUGCUUCUGGGAGCAUGGCCAUGCAUUGGGGUGCUUGUCUGGAGAUUGUAUGCAUUCUUUUCAGAAAGUAUUGCUUUCUAAACUGACUGUUAAAAGGAAAAUAUGUUCAUAGGUGUUGAAAGAGGAAAUGAUUUUGCAUUUGUCUGUGCUGCUCUUUUUUUUUUUCUUUCUAAUUUCUCUGGUCUUUGGAAGCAAAUAGACGUUUUCAUCCUCGUUUCCAUCUCUGUAUCCUUGUGCACUGGCUCAGCCUAAAUGUGAUCAGUGAAGACUGAUCAAUUUCAGGGCAUGGGGGGAAGGUGGAGAAGUGUUCAGUGAUCCUGACAACAGACUUUCUGAAAGGCAGAGUUCUCUCUUAGGCUCUCCUGGCCUUUUACUUUUUCCUGCUUCCUUCCAUUUUUAUUUUUGGGUCAUAAGCACUCGUGCUUUCAUACACCCAUGGAGUGUUUCUGCAGCUCGGUUAUGGCAGUGCCAUGCCUAUUCUGAGGCCUAGUUAGGCAUUCCUUGCUGGUACCCUCUAUGGAGCAAUCUAUCCUGCCUGCCGCUUUCUUGGUUUCAGAGAAUCUUCCCUCUUUCACGUCACGUGCCAGCCAUCUGGGCUCCAGAUGAACAGUGUCUUUUUUCUCUUUUCCCCAUUAAUUCUUUCUGGCGCUGUUGAUCUCCUGGCAUAAUUUUUUUUAUGCAAUUAAGGAAAGCAGUAUCAUCAGAUCUGUCUGCGCAGGAAGGCAACAACCAGUGACAGCCUGCAUGCGCCUCGAUCACCGACUUCCUACACGGCACUUGCUGCUUCCACGGAAGUUCUUGCAGAUAGUUCUAAUUACUCUUUUUAUUACCUGCAGGAGGAAGCAUUGCCCACAAGAUAAGAGGUCAGGGAGAAGUCCCUUUUUCCCAGCCUGUGCGAGGAAAAUGCACUGACUGCAGUUGGGAAGCAAUGAGCAAAGGUCUGGUUGUGGUGCUGCCUCUUGGGACUCGUGGCUGUGCUCGUGUCCCACUGUCUGCAGCAUCCUGCCUCCUCGGGCACAUCACAGAGCAUGGAGUGUGAGUUGGGUGUAUGCAUGAGGGACAGGAGCCUCUGCUGCCCUGUAUCCCCUCAUCAGCAGAUAUCCAGAUUGAUCGUAUGGAAUACCCCUGUCUCUUUUUUACUCUUCCUUUGUCUGUUCUCCUUUGGUGCAUGCAGCCGUGUUGAGGCGGUUAUCACCUGAUGCCCAGUGAAAACAAGGAAAGAAAAGAACAGUAGAAACUUAAUUAUUCUCUUUGUAAGCAGGAUAGAAGGGCAGGAACUUGCAGGAACUGCAGACAAAAAGGGAAGCAGGCUUAAUGGAAGAAGUGACCAAGUGUUAUGUGAAAAUGCUAUCAACAGUGAUUGUGUUUAUUUUAAUGAACUUCCAAACAACACAUAUACAUACUUUUUUUUUUUCAUUUUAAAUAUUAUUUGAGCCUCGCUUCAAAGGAGCCUCAUGAGUUAGCAGUUCAGAUAACUCUUAAUAGAGAACAGCUUUUGAGUGAGAGCCUCAUAAUGAAGCUGGAAACAUUAAAGCAGUCACUUCAUUUCCCAGGUUACCUGUGUGCCUGGAAUACCUCCUCCUUGUGCUCCUGUGUGGGAACUGUAGACAGGUGACAGCUAUUAAUUAGAACAGUGGUGUGCAUGAGGUUUUGGCAAGGGGACAAGAAAUGCAAACGGUCUGUGAGUGAUCUCCUCCUCCUCUCUUUCUCCAGCAAUUGAUUCUAUUCCUGGCUUUCCAUGUGAUAUCUUUUCCUUGCAAAAAAUAAAUGUUCCCUCUUCCUCCAUCCAAGGCUUAUUUCGGGGAGAUGCUUGGGAACACCUUUUGCUUUGCAUUGAAUUGGUGCUUUAUUUAGUGGGAAUGGAUGCACCAGACGACACCCCCACACAUUGCCUGGAUCAGCUCAGCUGGUCAGUGUAUAGACAGACCACAACAAGCACAAAAAGGUGUUGGCAGUAUGUCCAUGGCACAGUGGUGUGAGGGAGGCUCCCUGGCCUCCAUCUGGGUCACGCUUUUAGUGUGAAAAAACACACGGAGCUAGUCAGAGGCAAAGACUAGAGGUCAAACCCUUGCACCCAGCGCUGCCAUCCCUUCCAUCAAACAGUUCAGGACCUGUUAUCCAGCCCUCGUGUCCUACAGAGCUCUGCGUCCCACAGAAAAUCUCCCUUGUACCACCUGCCUCUCUGUAACUUCCUUGCCACUAUUCCUGAGUGUCCUUACUGCUGUGAAUGCCUCAAGAAUAAGUGUAUUGCCUUCAGUAAUGUCAUUAAAAAAAUUAAUACAUUGGAAAUGUUUACUUCCUCUACAAUAAUGAUAAUCUUAAUUUUUGAGCUUCCUGCACUGGAACAUUAUCUUAAUUAAAUUCUUCAUUCACUGAAUAGCUCCAAUAAGCAUGAAUGGCAAAUUUCACCUUGCUGUAUUCUUCUAAAGGACGUUCUUUGAAGGCAGGUUCAUGACCCACAGCACCAGCAUCAAUCAGGAGCCCUCUGUGCUCUGUUCAGCUCAGUGCUGAUCAAAGCACGCUACGUAUUAUGCACUGUGCAGCCCUACUGAAUCCCUUCUAGAUUCCCUGUUUCCAGCACUGUGGAAGCUGGAGUUCCUUAGAAGGUAUGUGACAGAUCUGGAGCAAGCUGUCAUCUUCUGGUGUGUCUGUCUUGCAGCUGAUUUCCACCAGACAAUUUGUUCUUUGUUCUCAAUGUAUUCUUUACUAGAGACGAUCUCCUGUCUCUGUCCCAGCAGGUACAUGUAGUAUCACUCUGCAGGAGCUCUGUACCAUUGGGCUGCAGGAAGAUCAGCAGCUCGUGUGAGCACACACCCUAUAGAGAACUUGCUUGAACUUGGCAACUUUUGCUCUGUUCCCUUGCCACAGAUCUUCUGAUGCUGGCUGGCCCCGUGCUGAUGUACACCAGAAGACAUCUCUAAGUAGGUGCUAAGGUUGCUGAGGAUGUUAUAGUUGCCUUGUCUCAUUUAGAGAAGAAAGAAAGGAACAGAAUGAAAUGGAAUGCAAAGAGAAAGAGCAGAAAGCAAAGGGAAGAAGUGAGGAAUCCUCCUGUGUCAACUAGCUUCAGUGUAGAUGGUGGUGUACGACGUCUUCUCCUUAGGGUUUUCCUCCCAGCAGCUGUCAGUCUCUGCUGUGUAUCAGUGCUCCUUGCUGGCUAUGCUCUGAAGCCUUAUUGGUCCUUCGAGGACCAAUGCAACACUCUGGAAAUGAGCUCUUCCCAGCUGCUGCCUUGGUAAAACAAGCUAAGUACAUAAACCAGAGCACUGUGAUAGCUUGUCUGUUGAUGCAGCACUCUGUUCUCAAAGUGAAAUGGGUUCUCCAGCUAGAAGCUGGCAGCAGUUGAGUACAAAGAUGAGCUUCGUGUUCACUGAAUGGAAAAAGCACAUCAAACAGGGGGAAUGGUCUUUUGCAGCUCAUUUAGAUGUAAUGCACACAAUUCUGAUCUCUAGGAUGAUUUAUCUUCUACCUUCAAUAUUUUUAGAACCUGAUUAUCACUGUCAGUGUUUCCAUGAGACUGAUGCAAGGUGAACAGGCUGUGAAAGGGUUUGAGUUCCUUCGGGAGGGAAAUCCCAAGCUAGCACACUCUGGGAUGCCAACCCCAUCUCCUCCCUUUGCCUCCAUGGCAAACCCCACGUAUUGCUGUUGGUUGCCCAGGAGCAAGAUGGACGUGUGCUUAUCAAAUAAGUGCAGCUUUGCCAGCUUGUUGAGCCCAGGAAAGCCACAGCCAGGGCAUGCAGAACUCCCCAAGUGAUCUCUGUGUCAUUUCCUGUGGCUUUUAACACAAUUAUUUCCUAAUUGUUCUUUGUGCCAGGCUUUUUUUGACUUGCCAGGAAAGUCUGCAGAUGAAGCAUGUGUGCCUGAAGCCCUGGCAUUCUUUAGCCCUGACAAAGAGAUGGCAAGCUCACAAAAGAAGAAUGGUGGAAAAUAACCCACUUGUCACAGGAGGUCUUCUCUGGGGGUUAGUGCUGAUCGUGAGCCCAGUUACAUCACAGCUCCUGCAGAACAUUUCUCCCUUGCUAUCCAGCUUCAUUGCAGUUCCUGUUUUCUGUUGCCUCCCAAGGCAACGUUAUUCUGCACUUUCAUUGCAGCUCAUGGGGGAAGGGAGCUCCAAACUUCCAGAGCAAGGAGUAGUCCUGAUAAAAACCCCUUUGUGUGCAAUGUGAAAGUGCCUGCCUUGGCACCACUCCGCAGUCUUUCUCUGCAGUCCAUUUUAAACUCAAUCAGAAAAAUGCAACGCUGCCCACACCAGCUCUUGCAGGGCUUAAGUGCAUGCACUAAGAUGGCACACUCUCAGGGCUCAGCACUUCUGAUACAAGAGGUAUCAGAGGCUGCAUGGGCCCUGUCUGUGCUUGGUGGUGGUUUUAGUGAGAGCAUGCAGUGCUGAAGGCACUCCUGCACUUGUGCUAAACAGGAAUAGAACAUUAAACUUCCUAAACUCCAGCAUUCCCCAUCUAGAACUUGAUGUUUUCUCUGUAUUUUUAGUAUUAAAAUUGAUUUGUAUUAAGGAUGGGAGCUUGUUGCACUGAGUGAGCAUGCAUCAUUUAAUUAAAGGGAUGAUGCAAACGUGUGUCUGAAAUUUCCUGUGGACAUCGUCUUCUGGGAGGUUGUCCACAUUUUGUUUGGCAAAUUGGUAUUUGCGCAACACUUCCUUGCAGGAAGCUGGCGUGUGCUGAGAGCAAGAUCUCAUUUAAGGCCACUGAGAACAUGCUCUGAAGCCAAACUGCAUCAGGGCCUGAGCUGAUUUCAGCUUUCAUUAGGCAAAUGGAUACAUGCCUGCUGCUUUACAUCAAGGGCCUCUCAGUACGCUGAUGUUCUUCAUGGCUUGGGCAGGGUACACUGUGCACAGAGGUCCUGCCUAAAAAGGAGACCUCUGCCCAGAGCCAUGUUCAUUCACAUAGGUCUGGCUGUGUUCUCAGGCAGGGGUUGAGUCUCACAGUUCUCAGCAGAUGAGCUAACUAAAGCAUCCAAACAACAAAAAAACGCCUUAAGCUUUUGUCUUUUGAGAAGCUGGACAGGUUGUGAUGUGAGCAUGCUUUGUAUCAAACUAGACAUCAUCCUCAGCAAGGAGACUCCACAGGGUAAAGGCUAUCAUUGCUGGAGGAUCUGGCUGGAUAAAAAAACCACAAGGACAUGUGAAGAGAACCUGAGUCCAUGAAGGAUUGAAGGUACAAGCUCUGCUCUCAGCCAGGUCAUUUUAACUGCAAAAUCUGAAUGUAAUACCAACAUCAGGAUGUCCUCUAGACUUACUAACGGUGCAGUGAGCCCCGGGUCAUCAGCAGCUGCUCCCACACACACACAAAAAAAAAUUUAAAAAAAAAGCCAUGACACUGAAUGAUUCUUUGUAGUGUCACAGGCUGGGAUUUUUCAUUUUAAAAAAGAAAGUAAAAUGCGUGUUAAAAAAAAUAUUUAUGUGCCACUGAAAGAUUCAGGAGCGUGGUCCAACUCCCUGCAGUGAGGGAAAGAGAUUGCUGUGACUUUUAAUUCUGGUGCUCAGAUCCCACACGCUUCAGGCCGAACUAUGAAUAGAGAAGGUGAGCAGCAGACUCAAGUCAGGCUUCCUCUUGACAUUUUGUUUCUGUAAAAAUAAGUAGCCUUUCAGUACAUCUAACAGAAUCUCUUCCCUGGCUCUCCUUGACAGCUCCCCCUCCUGUCUCCACCUCCAGAGAUGUCUGAACAGUAUAAUUUCCUUUUAUUUUUAGCCAUCUUUCAUAAUUGAAAUCUCUGUGUCAGAGAGAAGAUUUUGCCAUGAAUUCCUCAACAGGCACUUACCGAAAGCGAUUGAUUAAAAUGAAAUAUUUAAUGGGAUUUUAUCCCCACGGACUUGGUGACAGUGGUGCAUCUUAAAAGAGAAAAAUGGUAACGACAUUAGGAUGGAUGGAGAUGGGGCUGCCAUCUCCCCAGCUUUGCUGGUGCUUCCCUUCAGGUCAGUAUAGGAUCUGGGCUGAGGUGUGUGUAGCUGUGUGAGAUGUGGAUGCUGCUCCUGAGCCCAGAGUUGUCUCCUAACUUCCUUGUGGAGACUCAGUGCCUCUGUUUGGGAUCAAGCUGGUAGCUACUGCUUGCUGCCCAGGAUGGCUGUAAAGCUCUCCUGAGCUCCUGCCACAUCAUAGACAGCUGUUUCUCUUAUCUAAGGUAAAAACCAGAUGGGAUCUGCUCCAGGGUCCAGCUAGCCCUGUUCCUUAUUUUGCAAAGUGGCCAGAGCAAGUGCUUCUGGAGGAAUACAGCACGAGAGCAGCGGGUUACAACGAGAGUAUUGCAAAGAAAGGAGAGCAGUGGAAGCAGCUGCUCCACAGCACGUGGUGAUGCAGGAACUGAUUCAAUUUGAUGCAGCCACUAAAACUGAUACUGAUGAUCCAAGGUUUUAAUUGAAAACCAUUUUGAAAACCAAGUUCUCUGUAAUUGUACGAGACCCAAAUGAUAAAAACAAUACAAAUAAAUAAUAAAAAAGAAACCCCGCUGAUGAACCUUGCAGCUCAAGCCAGGGUUGGAGGAGGUGCUGGUGCCCAGCCGGUGUUCACCUAGCGUGGGUCUCAUCUCUCCUGCCACAGCCAACCCUGCUCCUCCCACCACUCCUGUCGCUUCAGAGAGGAGUCUGCAUGAGAGUGGCAAUAGAAGUGAACCCAGAUCUGAGAUCUUCAGACCAACGCCGUGUGCUUUAUCUAAACACGUGAGGGCUCCUGUUGCAAAACUGAGCGAUUCUGUUAGGUUCCUUUGUGAAUCCUAACAAAGCUGGAAAUUGUGAAUCAUAGCAAAUCAUGCUGCCUGGUACAGGGAGGAUGAUACCAUCUGCCAUCCAGUUACUGCUGUUGAGUCAUCUGCACUGGGUUCUGAGCAUGUCACGCGACAUAUCGCCAGCUCCUAACAUCAAACCACGGCAGAGGUUUAUUCCAUGGGUGUCCCCUCACUCUGCUUGGAUGGAGCACCCCUGUCCACAGCCAGGAUUGCUGUCCCAUCAGCUGACACAUCCCGGAGGAGUUUCCCAAUGGAAUUUCUGCAGUAGUUUCAACAGUGAGGGAAGGAGUGGAGGCUUGGUUGUGCAAGAGGAUGUUGUUGCAUCCAUGUCUGCAGACACACGGAAGCCCAUGUGACCUCCAAGGGAGUCUGAGGAACUUUCUCCCUUCUGCUGUCCCAGAGGAGAUUUCACAGGCAUGCAGCCUGGCCCUGUGCCUUGUGAGCUGCAGACUCAUGUCACUUGUGCAUUUUUUGCACAGCAUCCUCAACAACCUCCUGUGCUGCGCACAGAUAUGCUGCUAAUGCAAGCGUGUCUGCCAUAUGUGACUAAGCAUGUGUUUAAUUAAUGAGGUAGAUUUAAAAUCAUUGCCCAGACGGUAUUCUCACUUCAAGAGGAAAACCAGUGGGGCUUCCCCACAUAACUCACCUCCUGGCUGCCUCGCUCUGCCCAGUCCCCAGCAGAGAUGCUGCAGGACAGCAGAGUGCCACGCAGUGCUUCAUGCUCCCAAUGCCCCCCCACUGCCUUUGGUAGAGUUUCAAACGAGAAAUCAAACUGCAGCAUUUUAAACAUUGCCUCCCACACAGUGUCUGACCUCAGCCUCCAUUACAGCUUGCUGCAGGUUCAAAAGCCUCCGGCAGAACAGCUUGCACCCCCAGAAAUGUGGUUUUGCCAAAAUAGAAGCAUUUUGCAGAAGGCAAUGAUUUGACUGAAUCUUUUGCCAGCAUGUUGCUCUAGGCUUUGCAGUUUGUUUCAGCGUUUUGUGUUUUUGUUUAAUUUUGGAUUUCAUUUUCUUGUACAAGAUACUACUGAAACAAAAUAUUUCGUGUUUACAAAUAUUUUUUUUUUCAGGGGGAGGGCUGGGGGGCUGAUUUCCAAACGCACUUGGAAAUGACAGCAUUCCUUAUUGAGCAGAAGUCCCAUUUUCCUAUCUGAUCUCGUUGUACAGAAGUUAAUGCUACUGUGAAAAGACCUCUUUUCCCACAAUAGACUUUACUUCCAGAGCAAUUAAUUACUGAAGUACUCUGCACAGCUUUAGUCUGUCCAGAGGCACAAUCUCACCUUUCGUUGAUAUCAGUCUCAUGAUCAGUUAUUUGCCUACAGGAGCCAUGGAUCCUGGAUGAGUUCAAGGCCAGGCUGGAUGGGGAUGAGGCAGCCUGGGCUAGCCAGGAGCUGUUCCUGUCCAUGGCAUUGGGACUUGAACAAAUGAUCUGGUCCCUUCCAACUCAAACCGUGCUACGAUUCUGUGAUUUCUGUUAGUAGCUGGGAUCUCUACUCAAGGGCUGAGGCAUCGUUGGUACCUUUCUGGGUAGAGAUGAAGUGUUGUAGAAGCCAGCAUGAUCCAGCAUGAUGCAUGCGUUCUGCUAAAGCCAGGGUGGCUCCGGCCUGAACAUCCUGGGGACAAAGGGGCCAAAGCAAAACCAACAGGUGUAAGAAGAUGACGACGAGAGCCCUGUAGAAGCCAGGCAAAGAAGCCUCGAAUGCUGCCUAGACCUCUGUUAACCUUUCGUCCUGCCAUCCACCACCCUGCCAAUAAGAGAAUCCCUUUCAAAAGUGAAGCACAAAAAGUCCAAACCAGCACGUUUCCCUCUUUUCUUUGGGGAACAGACUGCAGUGAUGAACGGACAAAUGGAGCUGGUCCCCAGUGCUAAACUGCAGAAACCACAGGCUUCAGCAAAGCCCUUCAAGCCCUCCUGUCCCCCAGCAGAGUUACUGCUCCUCUCUUCUGACUCAGGUCUGGAAAUAUCAAGAGAGGCGCUGGUCUGAACCUGACUGCACAGCGCCGAGGGCUGUGAGACUGAGAAGCUUAAAAGGGAGCAGAGGAUUGUGUCCGCCCAGCACGGCCUGGGAGAAGAAAGGAAUAAAUGGAGAAGCAUUUCAGCACUUACCUCUCAUUUCUACCAUCGCUAUACAUAACAAGUGCCUCUGCAUAUUUUAUAGCACUUAAAAAGAAACAAGUGUAGCUAGUGUAGAAGCUGGCUUGUUCAGGGAAACUCAAAACAUGUGCAGCCAUAAAAAUCCUUCAUUUGAUGCCAAGCUAUCGCAUUUUCUAGUGUCUGAAAGGCAAAUGAUGCUACAGGAGUCCCCCAUGCUUUCUCUCAGCCUGCUCACAAUCACUGUUACAGAUCCAGAGCAUUCAGCUCAGCUCCCCUCAGCUCCUAGUGGCUGAGCAGAACAAAAACAUCGACGCAGCAUCUCAACGAGUUUUGCUGUAUUGCUGGCACACAACAGAUGUUUAGGUAGCAAACGCAGCCUCCAUCCAAGGGUGUGCCUUUUGAAGAGGAGAGAGCAGAAACGCUUUCACCCAGUUAAAAGAAAAAACAACAAGUAGUCAGAUUAUAGAGGAAGGGAUAAGCAAGGAGAUGCCAAAAUCCUCGAGAAGUGAUGGUCCUGGAGCAAUCUGCUUCCCUCUGUAAACAAGGGAAUGUGGUUUGUGGGGUUUGGCUUGUGAAAGUAUGGCCCUGUGUCCCUGAGAGCUACAGAGGGGUUGGAGAUUAACAGGGACUCUCUGCCUGGCAAUUAUUACAAAAGAUUUGGGAAUAUUUUGUCUUCGAAAAAGCCACUUCUCUAUCCAAACAUGGUCAACAGGUUCAGCAAAUGUCAGCAGGAUCUAUCAGAUGUUCAUGUGCACACACAAAUACUUGGUGUGGUCAUGUAGACCUUCUUCCCAUAGGAAACCAGGCAUCCCUACGUGUUUAACUAAACAUUUUGUUUUUAACAUCUCUUUCCAUUUCCUCUUUCCCCCUUCACUUGGGUAUUGAUGUAUUGGAUUGUCAGAGACAUGGGAGGAAGACUGGCAUUAGGAUUAAUGGUGAGGGAUGUCGGUUCUCUCCAGAGCUCUUGCCUCAUUCCACUUUGUGUGAUGGCUGGGAGAAGCACCUCGGUCAAGCCUGUCAUCCUUACCAAAAAGAUCCUGGCUGCAAAAGGAAAGCCAUAUGUUGAGCCAGGAAAGGGGUGAACAUGCUGGGUGUGCAGGUGGCAGCAGCAAUCUGGUUGCAGCAGCUGGGGCCAUCCCUGACCAUAACCUACAUAAGGAGAAGGCUGAAAUCUGUUACGUGAGCAAGCAGGCAGGAGCACUGGAUUCUGGUGGGAGAGGGAGUGAGAUUCAGCCACCUGAAGGCAUCUCCCUGCAGGAGAAUUACCUUCCCUAUAAAGCAGCAGGCAUCGCUCUUAAGUGUUUUCAAGCUUAAAUUGUUUCCCUAGGUGACAUCCUGGUAAGUGGAUUUCCCAAUUAAGCACAAUCCAAUUAAGUGGGAGGUACUGUAAUUACCAAGUGCUCAGCGCGAGGCAAAGAUCAGAUCCAUCUAUGGCAGAAGGGCUCUUCUCCACUCAGGAAGGGGCUGUAGCGAGGUGCUUCUGUAAGCAUGAAGGUGGGCAGCUCGGACAUGAGGCUUGGCAGCCCCCUCUCUGCCAGUCAGCAUCUUCUGUGUCCCCACGGGGACCAAUUCCCGGUGCCAAUGCCCUGAGUUGCCGAAGCUGUGCAAGCAGAGUCGUGCAGCCUGCGCAGCUCCUCCAGCUCCGUACCGCUGGUUUUACAGUGCCACCCACUGGCAGGGGCUCCCACAAACCCUCUUCUGCAGCUCUGCUCCUCCGCAUCUGAUGUUCCAAUGAUGAAAUAUUAGAGGGGUAGCUCUGGUGGGCAUCACCCAUAGAACGGAUCCCACGUGUGCUGUCCCGGGCCAUCUGGAAGCGUUUUGGAAUCCGUUCUGGUGUGUCUCAGUGUCUGCUGAACCCACACAGCAAAGUCGUUGGGUCUGCAGCGUGCCAGAUGUUGGCUCAGGCUGUGUUUAAGGACAGUCAAAUGGUGCAGUGCUGCGUCCUGCCUGCGGAGUGGUAGGGCGGGUGAUGAGCCUCCUUCUCGUCCUUGCUGUGCUGAGCACACCAAAUGCAGGGCUCGGUCUGCAUAGGAGGCUGUGUUAAUGUUCUUCCAAGCAGGAGAAAAUACAAACCGUGGCUGAUUCUGAAUGCCCCACUGCACAUUAUUAAGCGUGCAGCCCCAUGGAGAGCAUGCUCCCAGCAGGGGAGGGCUGGGGACUUGUGCAGGACAGAUGGAUGUUCUCCUGCCAGUGCACAGCACAGCAGUCAGCCUGGUCUCUCUGAAUGUGCUCUGUCCUUUCCUGAGUGCUGCACUCGCCUCUGCUGCUGGUUGAAUGUGUGAUGUAAGGCCAGCUGACAAGCAGAAGGAAAGAUGCAGCUGUCAGGGUCUCUGCAUGGCAAGCUGCUCCUCACAAGCUACAUUUUAAACUGAGUGCUGAUUUAAAAUCAAAUUUGACAAAUAGCAUGUUGGGAUUGUCAGGUCCUGGAGCACUGUCUUCCAGAAAGUAUGAAAAAGGCACCAGAGGAGAGCUUGGCAUAGCCUCCCAGAUAACAGUAAUUAAAGGCUUUUACACUCAGGCUCUGGAAGCUGCUCCUCUUGCAAAUUGGCCUUGAUUGAAGGGAAAGAGAAUGAUGAGACUGGAGGAAAGUGAUGGGGCUGGCAGGAGAAAACACAGAGGUAAGUCUCAGUUUUUUCUUUUUUUACCCCACCUCCUUGUCCCAGCCAGGGUGGAGGCAGCACUGCUCCUGGGCUGGUUCUGCAGUGCACUGGUGGAGAUGGAAGAAAAAGAGGGGCCCCACAGCUCUGCUCCUGCCGCAGAGCAUCACCCAUCACUGAGGGAAACAUUCCCAUCCCCCAAAGCAUUCCAGGUUCAGUGACACCAGGGUCACCCAUCCCAGUGUAGCAACCCCAAAACUGAGUUAUCCCCAUGCAGGGGUUGUGCCCCUAUGUGAUCCCCAGGAUUAAAGCUCUCUUCUCUGCCUAUCUUCAGCUGGAUAUCUUUAAGUACAGCCCCGCAAGCAGCAAAACCCAUGGCCAGAUUGUCUGCAGAUGAGUGGGAGGCAAGCCCCACAUCUUACAUUUGGUGCUUGUUAAUAUUUGGAUAAGACAAGCAGAAUGCUUCAUCCAGGGCGGUGCUUGUGUUUGCUGUAAGCCAAUACCUCUGCGGGGUUACCAUGAAAUUCAAGGCAGCUUGUGAAAAACACUGGUGGGAUAAGGCAUGACUGCAGGCCACUGGCAUCAAAGUCAUUUGAGCCAGGGUAAAGUCUGUGUCUGAAGCCAAAGGGAAUGCACUGGGAGAGCAGCCAGACCCAGACACGGUUCCUGGAGGAUGUGGGGAGAUGCCCUGAGCUCCCACUCUGGCAGUUGAUGCAUCUCUCUGUCUUCCUGGCUCUUUGCAGGAGAAGCUGCUUUCUGCAGGAGCUGGGCAGGUCAGAAAGGACCAGUAGCACCCUGCCAGUGGCUCUGCUCACAUUCACACCAGCCAUUGGGGUCAGCCCAUUGCAUGUUGCGUUUAGCACAAUAAAACAUCCGGGAAACAAUAUCUCAGUUCAACGUGCCCUGAAUAUCUUUAACAAUCCCCACAGCUGCCUGCAUGCCCUGUGCUGCAUUUGGUUGCAGCAAAUUUGGUCCUGUGCUGUCAGGAGGCCUUUAACCUUGCUGGUGCCAAAAUGCACCGUGGAGUCCCUGCUGCCUGCCACUCCCAGCUCUGCAGCAGCGUGACUUGACAGAAGAUGGCAGGGGUUGGAAAAGGGUUGGGAUGCCAUUGCCAUAGGAACAGGUUAGUGUUCGGAAGAGUAAGAGUGAGAACAACUCCAAAAGUAAUGAGUUGUCCCUCUGAUGAUGUGGGGAUCAGGGGGAUUUAGUUAGGGGAAGCAUUAUGCUCCAAAUAAUGAGGGUCCAUAAGCCGCAUCUCCAUGUUUGCUUCCUCCAGAAGGGCUCUGCUGACAGUCCUGGAAAACCAUCUGACAGGGAGCACAGAUACACCUCCUGCACAGCAGCUGAGCCGCAGCUCUGCACUCCCGGGAUGAAAGGCACAGCUCCGUGCAAUAUUCAUUCACUCAUCCUUCCUCUCUUCAUUCAUUCAUCCAUUCAUCUGCUUCAUUCACAUUUCCCUGGCACUUUAAUGAGCAGUGCUGAGCCCCUGUAGUCCUGCAGAGCCUGUCUCCAGUGCACAACCUCGUGGCUGCAGAUGGCCAUCCCGAAGCUCAGGCUCAGGCAUUUUGCAGGGCAGAUGCUCGUGUGGCCAGGGCAUGGCCUGUGGUGUGCCUAGCCAGUCACCUGGGCCCUUCAGUCCCACUACAAUCCUGGUGGCAGUGUUGUUCUUGUGGUUUCUCUUUGCUCUACUUUGCAAUUUGUUCAAUUCACGUCCUCCUCGUGGGAGCACAAGGAGGGGGAUUGCAUCAAAACUGCAAACAUGGAGGCUUUCCUUCUUUCUGCUGUGUCUCUAGGAAGGACAGAAAGGUGCUUUAGGAGCAUCUCCCCUCCUCAGCCACAUCAGAGCUGCCAGGUGUCUGAUUGGAGAGGCCAUUGCAGAGGUCUCAGAUGGACACUGAGAUGGCACGGUCCUAACCAGAACCUGGCUUUGCCCCACGUUCUCUCUCUGCCCAGAGGCAGCAGGGACUGGAGGCAGCAAUUCCAGGCUCUGCAGAGCGGGAUUUUCACCACUUGUAUGCAGACAUGACUCUUGAAGAGAGGGGCUGGGUAGAAAUCCAGCAAAGAUUAAAAGGAGACAAUAAUUUCCCUGCCUAUGAUCUCACUCAUGGAAAACAAUGCUUCUGCUUUUUCUGCAUGCGCUGCUGAUCUGUCCUCAGCCUCCCUUCAGAAAGCUAAAUGCAAAGGAAGCAAACAGAAAGCAUCCGUUCUUUGUAUAAUGGAGAGAGCUUUUUCUUUUUUUCCCUGCCUUUUAUCACGGAUCUGCUGCCAUCACUGUUACUCAGCGGGUUAUUACCUCUGAGUGGAUACUUCCACCAGCAGGAGCUGCUUUGUGGUCUGCUCGGAGCAAUUAUGGAUCGGGAUCAUUCCUGCUGCGUGGUUUCAUUGCACAAGGAUUUGCUGUGCUCCACAGCCAAGGUGAGGUGAGACUCUGAUCUCUGUUCAUGGAUCCUGAACUCCUGAAGCUGAUUUUGCCGCUUUGAUAAUAAGGCGAAUUACAUGAUUUGAUGGCAGAAGACAGUGAUGUAAAGAAAAGAGAAAUACAGCUCCAGAGUGGGGUCACCACUUGAGACAGGGCACUUGACGCCCCAUAAGAAACACAGGACAUCCUGGUUAAAACAGAGUCACUUGAGCAGCUGCAGCAUGGUUAUUUUCUCUGCAUGGCCUGCAUCUGAGAGCUGUCCUCCAAGGAGAGAAAGUGCUGUUGAACUCGGUAAUCGGCGCCAGAACAAAAAAAAGAAAAAAGAAAACCCUGCUGAGCUCCUGCUUGCUCUCCUGACCAAGCAUCCUCCCAGCCACCACUGUGUUACUGUCAUUCCCAGCAGCAUCACACUAACCACAGGAGCAGGGCUAGGGUUUGAGUCCAUGGUUGCAUUCCCAACGAGAAAGGGCUGAAUCAGUGCCCCGUGUUGGGGCAGGGGGUCCUGGAGCCCAUCCUGUAUCUGAGAGGACAGCCAUGGUGCAUCUGCACCUGGAGGAGUGGGGAUUGUUGUCACAAGGCUUGAUCCAGUAACACCCCAAAUUUCAGAGCUUGUAAACAGCCACUGAAAUCUUGGUAGCCUAAUUUAGCUGAAAAGCAGACCUCACAAAAAAAUAAAUGGUCUCAUAAAUACCUGAACAGGGUGUCUCUGCUAUUGAAGCUGCAGAACUUCCCUGUGCUUUCGGGAUGUGGAUCUACAUUUGCAAUUCGAGUCUCAGACCCUUAGCAAUAAGACCCAGGAGGUGUUGUAGGUGGGUGCUGAGAUGUCACUCUGCCAUACAGGGUUGAUUUGCAUCUGCCACCCUUCAAGAUAUGCACCCCAAGGAGUGGUGGUGAGAGCAUCUCAGUGGGGGUGGGCUGCUCAAACAAAUGAAGUGACAUUUGCGUUGUUUUUCAGCUAUUCUGGGACAUCUUUGCAGAAGUCACCUGUGACAGCCAUGUGUUCUCUGGACACCUUGGCUGUCACUUCUGCCAGCAUCGCUUUCCACUGGAGACAGUGUUGGUGGGUUUAUAGUUCAUAGGGAAAAGGGCGGGUGCAUGAAGACAGAAGCCUGGAGAAGAAAUUAUCUCAAAUGGCACUGGGCUGAGCUGGAUUGGGAUUAACCUUCAUCGAGGAGUUUUCCCUCCUCUGAAUAUUUCAAAACCUACCAAGAAACACAUGCUCCCUCCACUGUCUUGAAGGUCUUGAGAUGUCAGACCUCACCCCUACCCAUUUGUUUCCAGAUUUAAGGAGGUGCUUUGUCUUGAAUAAUCCAUGGAUGUGUCCUUGUGGCUACACGAGUAGGCAGGACUGAACUUGGCCUGGGGGUGCAGCCCAAAAGCAGAAAUUGCAUUGGAGGGGAAGAAAGACUCAUGGUGCUGGCCGAGGAAGGGAGAAAGUGGAGUGGAUAUCCCUCUUCUCUAUUCAACAGGCUUAGGACCUGCUUUGGUGCAUUUUACUGGCCCAAAAACAAAGCAAGCAUCAGCCAUACCACUGAAUUCCUCCCAGAUUCUCACACUGCAGAGUGACCUGUGCAAAUGCCAGCAGCUGGGAGACUGAAAUAGAAGCUGCCAUUGCUUAGGCCCCACUGAUUUGUCCUGUGGUUUUUCCACGUCCUUUAAUCUCCAGUAAAUAAUCCCUCAUUUCUUUGUGGUCUUUCUAAUUCCAUGCUCUGUGCCGGCACUUCCUGUAAACAGCGGGUCUAGUGGCCCUUAAUUGAGACUCUUGCCAGCUGUGCAAAGGGCACGUGGCAGGGCUGUGCUUGGGGCUGGAUGUGGCAGUUCCAGAGGGCUGAAUGAUGGGAAUUAGGAGCCUGGUUCUCUUCUUCAUCCAGGCAGAAGUCAGGGCAAGCCAUGGUGCGGCCAGUGAGUAAUUCAGUUUUAAAGCAUGGACACGUGGAAACAGCAGGUGUCAUCAGCCUGCCUCAACACUUCAUACUAUCCAGUCUGAAGAAAUGAUAGGUGGGUCAGUGCUUGAAAGCACAACUGGAAUAAAUGAUGUGAAAUGAGUUCCCUGCGGCACAUGCUUCCACUGGCUCUGCAAGAGUCUGUGCAGAAGCCACGAGCAGGCCUGUCUCAGCCCUUAGUUACAUUUCCAGUCUAUGAUCUUGAAUGAAGUCCUAAAAUGAAGGUCUGUGCUUUCUGAAGACCUACCUUGGUGCUCAAGGCCUUGAUCUUUCACUGCCUUGUAGAUACAAAGCUUCCAAAUCCUCCCAUGUGCUCCAACAGCAAGGAAGGCGGAGAACAUAUUUUCCAACCAAAAUCUCUCCAGUUCUAUUUUGACUUCAGGCUGUUGAAAGAUUUGCAGCAUCAGAUAUCCAUCCUCAACCCUGGUUUAUUUUCUUCAGGUGAGUUCAGGUUGAAGUGAUAGUGGAUCGAAUGGGAUUUCAGCUUCACCUCCUGUCUGAAAGCUCACCUGCAUGUUGACUGGUUGCUUAUAUAGAUCCUCAAAUAUGAGACAGAUCAGAGUUUGUUCCACGAAAUGUCCAUGCCCACGUGGUGCCAGUGCGGCAAAAUGCCAGCGGGAGCGUCGUCAGAGUGCUCUGUGAAGGUCAGAUGGAGGAGCUGAGGUUUCUCCUCACCUUGCAGAGCUGAUGCUGUAUUCUUGCAGUGCUGAGUUGUUGGCUGAAACGUAGCCCUGCACAGAGUUGGAACAAACAAAGCUCCUUCAGGCUAUGAGAUGGCUGCCUGAGACCUGUCGAAAGCAUCACAAGUGUAGAUGAAAUUGUUCAGUAUGUAUUUAUUGGCUCUCAGUUGCCUCUGCAUUUUUUUUUUCCAACAACAGAGAUGCAAACAAGCCUUAAGAGAGGCAGACGAGAUUUACCCAGGCAGCAAUAGGAACCCUUGAGCCCUGAUGCCAAUAAUCCUCAUCUGGAGUCAGUCCCGUUGGCUCCAGCCACUGCUGAGCUUGCUGGUGGAGAAAACCACUGCACUGGAUCAAACCAAUGUUAAAGGAGACUUCACAGAAGUUAAUAGCUAGUGGUCAAGAGGAGUUGCCAGACUCUUGCUUUCUCAGUAACUAAUAAAAGUGCUUUUUAACACAA